rnacentral:lncRNA from 1 species
CCUGAGGGUAGAGAGGAUCGACCAAGGGCCCUGCCGCAACCUGAGCCACCGAGGAGGGAAGAGCAGCCCGGAGAUCGGCCUCCAAUUGGGAUCAUCAACUCCAUGUCUGGAGGACCUCAACGGGGAGUAGACCUUCUACGACCAUGGAAUUUGAAAAAUCUAUAAAUGUAUUACUAAUGACUUUGCUUUAAAUCAAGAUUCCUU